UUCUCCCUGUGUCUGUCUGUCUACAUGUCCACCUGUCUGACAAUAUCCCUUCCCCAAGUCCUCACUCCCCUCCUCUCCUCCAAUAACAAUCUUUUUACACCUGAUCUGUUGCAUGACAUAAUUUCUCAGGGGUGCACCUUGGCUGGGCCUGCCAAAUAUACCCCCUCAUUGUAUUAUAUUUCACGACACUGAUGCCGUAAGCUCGGAGGGGCUCUCCUGGUAUCUAACCUCAUGGGGAUCCCACCUGCCCACGACACCUGCGACUGGUCCACUGCUGGACCACAGACAACUGUGCUGUCUGGAACCCAGAGGCUGGCACAGGCUAAGCAAGCUGUCUGCACUGAGGUGAAAGUGCUGCCUGGGCCAUCGCGCGCUGCCCUCGUCCUUACUCUCUUCAGGUCAGCAGGUGACACUGAUGACUGAGCUCAACCUUUGGGACCCGAUUGGUGGAAUGAGAGAACUGGCUCCCUCCCUCCGGUUGUCCUCUGACUGCCACAGUGUGUCAAGGGAUGCGCACUGCUCCUCCGCAAAAGGAAUAAAUAAAUAAACUAGUA